rnacentral:rRNA from 1 species
UACGUAGGGGGCGAGCGUUGUCCGAAGUUACUGGGCGUAAAGCGCGCGUAGGCGGCUUCUUAAGUUUGAGGUGAAAGGUUCAGCGCUCAACGUGAACAGUGCCUUGAAUACUGGGGAGCUUGAAUGUGGCAGAGGGUCGUGGAAUAUCGGGUGUAGCGGUGAAAUGCGUAGAUAUCCGAUGGAACACCGAUGGCGAAGGCAGCGACCUGGGCUAACAUUGACGCUGAGGUGCGAAAGCGUGGGGAGCGAACGGG